GAUGAACGCUGGCGGCGUGCCUAAUACAUGCAAGUCGAGCGAACAGACGAGGAGCUUGCUCCUCUGACGUUAGCGGCGGACGGGUGAGUAACACGUGGAUAACCUACCUAUAAGACUGGGAUAACUUCGGGAAACCGGAGCUAAUACCGGAUAAUAUAUUGAACCGCAUGGUUCAAUAGUGAAAGACGGUUUUGCUGUCACUUAUAGAUGGAUCCGCGCCGCAUUAGCUAGUUGGUAAGGUAACGGCUUACCAAGGCAACGAUGCGUAGCCGACCUGAGAGGGUGAUCGGCCACACUGGAACUGAGACACGGUCCAGACUCCUACGGGAGGCAGCAGUAGGGAAUCUUCCGCAAUGGGCGAAAGCUUGACGGAGCAGCGCCGCGUGAGUGAUGAAGGUCUUCGGAUCGUAAAACUCUGUUAUUAGGGAAGAACAAAUGUGUAAGUAACUAUGCACGUCUUGACGGUACCUAAUCAGAAAGCCACGGCUAACUACGU
rnacentral:rRNA from 1 species